ACUUAACUAAGGUCACAUAGUAAAAGGGGAGAGGCCACCUUGGAAUACAGGACCCUCCUGAUAGGGCAGGACAAGAGAAAGAAUAUGGAACUGGAACUCACAAGAAGACCUUGAGCUGAUAAUGAUUGAUCACUAUAAGAAACAUGAGAAGAAAAUAUGAACAGAUGCAAAAUAUAGUAAUCAGAACCAGGAAAACAACAUAAACAGCUAUGAUGAUGAAGCAGAAAGAUGAAACAGAUGACUUCUCAAGACCCUUUCCAAGUCCCUGGGAUACAAGAAAGCCUGCUUUAAUAAGUAUGAACUAUCAAUACAGAUCUUAUAGACUUUCAGAGAUUGGUCAUGGAUCAACUUUGGAAAAACUGUGUGGCCUAGAUGAACUGCAACAGCUUCCUAUGAAUAAACAAAUCUUGAAUUGAGUACUUACUGUACCCUAGGACCUUCGCUAGAAAGAGAGAAGAAAUGCAAAGAAACAAUCAAAAAAACCUGCAAAGCAAGAAGCAAAGAGAAAAAAAGGAAGAAAGGAAGUUUGAUAUUGAAUACCAUCACUGGAAAUGUGUAGCACUUGAAAGUAAUAGAAAUAGUCUGUGGUAAA